GUUAAUUUAGGUGAUUAAUCACAGCUGGCUUUUGUGUCUUGCGGGGCUUCUGAUGUCCCGGGCAACGUCUGGCACCUGGACCUUUUUAGAUUGUAAGGAUUUUAUAUUUAGUUUCUUUAUGACGGGCCACAGUGGGCGUAAUUCUCCCGUCACUCUCGUAAACAGGUAAGUAUGUUUAGGUUAUAGUUAGGUUGUUAAGAGUUUAGAGAUUAUGUUUUUAUUCCCAGCCUGUUAGAGACACAAGAGGCAUCAGCAGAGGAUGAAGACUUCUAUCAAUCAAAACUAUGUAAGUAAAGCUUCUCGUUUACACAGAAAGACACUGAUCACAUGUUUAAUGUAUAAAUAGACGUCAUGUUUUACUAACGCCUGUAAAAUGUCGGAGAGGAACGCCAACAUCCACUGAUGGAGGAGGAGAAGAAAGAUGGAGGACGGGAGCACCAGCAUCUACCAAUGGAGGAGAAUAAAUACUUUUAUUAACCAAAACAAUAAUCCAGUGAUGGAGAACAAGGAAGAUGGAAGACUGAUGGAGGAGAAGAAAGAUGGAGGACGGGAGCACCAGCAUCUACCAAUGGAGGAGAAUAAAUAAUUUUAUUAACCAAAACAAUGUAAGUAAAACCUCUCGUUUACACAGAAAGACACUGGACACGUUUAUUGUAAAAAUUGACUUUCUAAUAAUGCUUGUAAAAUGUUGGACUUGACCACCAGAAUCCACUGAUGGAGAACAAGGAAGAUGGAAGACUACCAUCAUCUACCAGUGGAGGAGGAGGAGGAGAAAAAUGGGGGAGCACCAGCAUCCAAAAGUGUCCCAUAAUCAGCCACAGGAGGAGAGGCCAGCAGAGGAAAGAAAGACUAAUAACCAAAACAAUGUAAGCAAAACCUUUCAUU
rnacentral:lncRNA from 1 species